GGGUGUGUGUGGUUGGAGGGAAUACAAGUAUAUUCCCAAGAAUUUUGAGAUGGGAAUAUCUUAUUCCCAUGUUUGGUUCAAGAUUUAAAAAAUUAUUCUUGGGUAUGUUUUAUUCCCUGGAAUCAAAAUCCAACCCAUUUCAUUCCCAUCUCCCCCCUGGUUAUCUUUAAUUCCAAUGGGAAUGGAAUGUGUAUAAUAAAGUGAAAAGACCAAAAUACCCUUGUUAAUUUCACUCCAACCUUUCUUUUCAGAUUUUUACUCCUCAUUUGAUCAAAAACCCAAACCCUAGCAGAGCCCCUCUCCCAUCGAAACUAAAACCUAGCCGAGCUUCUUCCCCAAAUUCACGGAGGCUCCACCGGCGUCAGCACCGUCUCGCCGCCGAUUUGAGUUUGCACGACCACCCCUCACCUUAUUUUAGAAGAAAAUUCACUUCAAUCGUUCGUUUGCGUUCGUGUUCCAUCAUCGCAGCUCGGUUCACCGCGACUGUAUGCUUGCCGUCGUCGCUGCCGCGCCUCUAACCAAAUCCUCUGCGUCGCGUGCUCGCGUUUGGUCUCUCUCCUCUGUCACUCUCUUGCUUGGCGUUGAGUUCGCCGUCGACGAGGAAGCUUUGCCACCGUUUCUCCAGUGCUUCGCAUACGGAGAUACUAAAUAAGAGCAAAUUUGUUGCUAUUGAUGCUGGAAACAGGGGCUACCCUCCGAAUAAGGUAUGUAAGUUAAUGAUUGCGAUGUUUUUGACACCAAAUUUCUGAUGAUUUGAUGAUGACACUGAUCUGAGGUAAUUAACAUCGUUGUUAAGUUUGCAUAAGGUCACAAGUUGAAAAGUUAUUUUCCACAGUGAGUGCUUUUGAGUUUGUGGUGUUUGAAAUUUAAGGGGAGAAAAUGAAGGUUAGAUGGUGAAUUGGUGAUUGAGUUUUGGAGCACAUAACCUAGUCAUGUGUUUGCUGUUUUU